rnacentral:sRNA from 1 species
GCCUUCGCGGGUGCGCUCACCCACGCCGGCCAGAACCGAGUAACCGCCGUAAGCCUUGGCGAUGUUGUUGAUCAGUUCCUGCAUCGUCACGGUCUUGCCGACGCCGGCGCCGCCGAACAGGCCGAUCUUGCCGCCCUUGGUGUAGGGGCACAUCAGGUCGAUGACCUUGAUGCCCGUGACCAGCACUUCAGCGGUGUUGGUCUGCUCGGCGAAGGACGGGGCGUCACGGUGGAUCGUGCGGCUGAUGUCCGAACGGAUCGGGCCCUGUUCGUCGAU